rnacentral:rRNA from 1 species
AUUGAACGCUGGCGGCAGGCCUAACACAUGCAAGUCGAACGGUAACAGGAAGCAGCUUGCUGCUUUGCUGACGAGUGGCGGACGGGUGAGUAAUGUCUGGGAAACUGCCCGAUGGAGGGGGAUAACUACUGGAAACGGUAGCUAAUACCGCAUAACGUCGCAAGACCAAAGAGGGGGACCUUAGGGCCUCUUGCCAUCGGAUGUGCCCAGAUGGGAUUAGCUAGUAGGUGGGGUAACGGCUCACCUAGGCGACGAUCCCUAGCUGGUCUGAGAGGAUGACCAGCCACACUGGAACUGAGACACGGCCCAGACUCCUACGGGAGGCAGCAGUGGGGAAUAUUGCACAAUGGGCGCAAGCCUGAUGCAGCCAUGCCGCGUGUAUGAAGAAGGCCUUCGGGUUGUAAAGUACUUUCAGCGGGGAGGAAGGGAGUAAAGUUAAUACCUUUGCUCAUUGACGUUACCCGCAGAAGAAGCACCGGCUAACUCCGUG